rnacentral:misc_RNA from 1 species
GUAACAAGGUUUCCGUAGGUGAACCUGCGGAAGGAUCAUUAACGCGCAGGCCGGAGGCUGGCCCCCCACGAUAGGGCCAAACGUCCGUCAGGGGUGAGCAGAUGUGCGCCGGCCGUACCGCCCCAUUCUUGUCUACCUUACUCGGUUGCCUCGGCGGGCCGCGCUCUCCCAGGAGAGCCGUUCGGCGAGCCUCUCUUUAGUGGCUAAACGCUGGACCGCGCCCGCCGGAGGACAGACGCAAAAAAACUCUUUCAGAAGAGCUGUCAGUCUGAGCGUUAGCAAGCAAAAAUCAGUUAAAACUUUCAACAACGGAUCUCUUGGUUCCGGCAUCGAUGAAGAACGCAGCGAAAUGCGAUAAGUAAUGUGAAUUGCAGAAUUCCGUGAAUCAUCGAAUCUUUGAACGCACAUUGCGCCCCCUGGCAUUCCGGGGGGCAUGCCUGUUCGAGCGUCAUUUCAGCCCCUCAAGCCCGGCUUGUGUGAUGGACGACCGUCCGGCGCCCCCGUCUUUGGGGGUGCGGGACGCGCCCGAAAAGCAGUGGCCAGGCCGCGAUUCCGGCUUCCUAGGCGAAUGGGCAACAAACCAGCGCCUCCAGGACCGGCCGCCCUGGCCUCAAAAUCUGUUUUAUACUUAUCAGGUUGACCUCGGAUCAGGUAGGGAUACCCGCUGAACUUAAGCAUAUCA